rnacentral:lncRNA from 1 species
CUUCAUAGUUGUUUCCGCGGAUCGCAAAAAAGCAUGACACGAACUGAAUGGUUAUGUUAGAGGAUUAUCUACACAAUUAACAUAUCUUACCAAGGCCAUAGGAUGAAGGUGUGGGGCCAGGAUGGAGUUGUGGAGAGAUGGAGGUGUGGGGCCAGGAUGGAGAUGUUGAGCCAGCAUGUAGUUGUGGGGAGAUGGAGGUGUGGGGCCAGGAUGGAGUUGUGGAGAGAUGGAGGUGUGGGGCCAGGAUGGAGAUGUUGAGCCAGCAUGUAGUUGUGGGGAGAUGGAGGUGUGGGGCCAGGAUGGAGUUGUGGGGAGAUGGAGGUGUUGGGCCAGGAUGGAGGUGUGGGGCCAGGAUGGAGGUGUUGGGCCAAGAUGGAGGUGUGGGGCCAGGAUGGAGGUGUGGGGAGAUGGAGGUGUUGGGACAGAAUGGAGGUUUGGGGCCAGGAUGAAGGUGUUGGGCCAGAAUGGAGUUGUGGGUUCAGGAUGGAGGUGUGGGGCCAGGAUGGAGGUGUGGGGCCAGGAUGGAGGUGUGGGGCCAGGAUGGAGGUGUUGGGCCAGGAUGGAGGUGUGGGGCCAGGAUGGAGGUGUGGGGUCAGGAUGAAGGUGUGGGGCCAGGAUGGAGAUGUUGGGAGAUAUCUGUCUAUUCUAUUAAACUAUUGCGAUCUAUUGUGUUACCCAGAACCACUGAUCUCUCCAUAUCUACAGUACUGUCACCCAGAACCACUGAUCUCUCCAUAUCUACAGUACUGUCACCCAGGACAGGAUAAAAGCAGGCUUAUUAUGGAGUUGUCCACAGACACAGUCUCCCAUUGUCAUUCUGCACCACCAGUAAUCUGCUAUGGUAAAGAUUAC